ensembl:snRNA U2 U2 spliceosomal RNA
AUUGCUUCUUGGCCUUUUGGCCGAGGUCAGCUGUACUGUCUGUUCUGAUACGUUUAAUAUCUGAUAUGUUCUCUGUCCGAGGACAGUCUUCUAAGUGGAUUUAUUAAUAAGUUCAU